rnacentral:tRNA from 1 species
UGGGGUGUCGACAAGCGGUAAGUCCCUGGAUUUUGAUUCCAGUAUUCCUAGGUUCGAAUCCUAGCACCCCAACCA